rnacentral:lncRNA from 1 species
AGGAUUUAUUAUUUAGUCGUUAAAACAUGUUCGUGACCUAAUAAUAUGCUAUUAAUAGCAUGAUAGCGAUAUCGAGUAUAGAUCAUUGUGUGCCAUAUGGGUUGGUUGUCCUCUAAAUCAAAGAGUGUGGAGACACUGGUAUGGUAUACAGGUGGAAUGUAGGAGUACAUUCACACUGAAUGUGAUCAAUUGCGGAGCACUCUACUGUCAAGAGUAGCUCGCAAAAGGUAUGGGUAUAAGUAUCCCUCCGACAUGAGAUCACCAUAAUGAGUUAUAAGCAACUCAUUGUACUUUGGUGUCGGACCAUUUGAAUUUCUA